GACAGAGGGUGCAAACGUUGUUCGGAAUUACUGGGCGUAAAGCGCGUGUAGGCUGCUCGGAAAGUCGGGUGUGAAAGCCCUGGGCUCAACCUAGGAAGUGCAUUCGAAACUUCCGAGCUGGAGUGCUGGAGAGGAAGGCGGAAUUCUCGGUGUAGAGGUGAAAUUCGUAGAUAUCGAGAGGAACACCGGUGGCGAAGGCGGCCUUCUGGACAGCCACUGACGCUGAGACGCGAAAGCGUGGGGAGCAAACAGG
rnacentral:rRNA from 1 species